AUUGAACGCUGGCGGCAGGCUUAACACAUGCAGGUCGAGCGGAGUGAUGGUGCUUGCACUAUCACUUAGCGGCGGACGGGUGAGUAAUGCUUAGGAAUCUGCCUAUUAGUGGGGGACAACAUCUCGAAAGGGAUGCUAAUACCGCAUACGUCCUACGGGAGAAAGCAGGGGAUCACUUGUGACCUUGCGCUAAUAGAUGAGCCUAAGUCGGAUUAGCUAGUUGGUGGGGUAAAGGCCUACCAAGGCGACGAUCUGUAGCGGGUCUGAGAGGAUGAUCCGACACACUGGGACUGAGAAACGGCCCAGACUCCUACGGGGGGCAGCAGUGGGGAAUAUUGGACAAUGGGGGGAACCCUGAUCCAGCCAUGCCGCGUGUGUGAAGAAGGCCUUAUGGUUGUAAAGCACUUUAAGCGAGGAGGAGGCUUACCUAGUUAAUACCUGGGAUAAGUGGACGUUACUCGCAGAAUAAGCACCGGCUAACUCUGUGCCAGCAGCCGCCGUAA
rnacentral:rRNA from 1 species